UACGUAGGGUGCAAGCGUUGUCCGGAAUUAUUGGGCGUAAAGAGCUCGUAGGCGGUCUGUUGCGUCGGCUGUGAAAACCCGGGGCUCAACUCCGGGCCUGCAGCCGAUACGGGCAGACUAGAGUUCGGCAGGGGAGACUGGAAUUCCUGGUGUAGCGGUGAAAUGCGCAGAUAUCAGGAGGAACACCGGUGGCGAAGGCGGGUCGCUGGGCCGAUACUGACGCUGAGGAGCGAAAGCGUGGGGAGCGAACAGG
rnacentral:rRNA from 1 species